AAAAGCAAAGCUAAUUAAGCUAUUGGGUUCAUACCCCGGCUAUAAAGGUCUCACUCCUUUUCUUUUUA
rnacentral:tRNA from 1 species